rnacentral:rRNA from 1 species
CGUGUAGGCAGUCAGAUAAGUCUGGUGUGAAAGCCCUUGGCUUAACCAAGGAAUGUCGCUGGAAACUGUCUGGCUUGAGUACGAGAGAGGAGAGUGGAAUUCCCGGUGUAGAGGUGAAAUUCGUAGAUAUCGGGAGGAACACCAGUGGCGAAGGCGGCUCUCUGGAUCGAUACUGACGCUGAUACGCGAAAGCGUGGGGAGCAAACAGGAUUAGAUACCCUGGUAGUCCACGCUGUAAACGUUGGGCACUAGGUGUAGGAGGUAUUGACCCCUUCUGUGCCGAAGCUAACGCAUUAAGUGUCCCGCCUGGGGACUACGGCCGCAAGGUUAAA